CACUGAAAUAAAUUAAUAAACAAUCCAUUUUUUAUGAAGACUUCGAGCAAUUCGGUUACUGUAAUAAGUAUUCGCACCUCAUAUAUUUUUUGUCAGCUUUUUAUUGAUAGCUGGUGUGACAAAUUUUGUCGCCGAUUUCUUUUGUGAUUCAUUUUCCGACUUUGCUGUUUUUUCAAUACGAGACGCUCAUUUAUAUUACACAAGAGAAAUCUUCAUCACCAUAAUAAGGGGGUCGAACAUACUCAAGUUAAAGUUUAAUAUGACUUUCAAAGUCACAUAAAGCUUAUAUACGAAGAAACAUAUUUCUGUCUCACAUAUAUUGAUGGACUGACUGG